rfam:Firmicutes bacterium CAG:137 genomic scaffold, scf35
CUGACGCCCUGUAACUGACGGAAGAAGUGGAGCACCACGGGGGAGCAGGGCGUCUGGAUUUCUUGCCGGCCGUCUGGGCACACUUA